rnacentral:lncRNA from 1 species
AUAAUAAAAAUACAAAACCACUUGAAUUAAACAGAUAAUACGAAUUCAAGUGGGAUGCAAAAUGAACAACAAUUAAAAUUUGAAUUGCUAAUUUAUGAAUAAAAAUGCUAAAACAAUAAAGACGAUAGUAGGUUCACUAGGAGACUAAGCUCUGAUACUAGCUGACGAGGGAUAAUCUGGGGAAGAUCUUUUUGAUUCCCGGAACCUCAACCAACGCAUGCCGCUAGAAGAUUUAACCCCAAAAUCUACCUCUCUACUUGAAUCUACACCCACCUAUAUGGCAUGCAAAAACAAGAUAAUAGAGAAAAAUAAAAAGAAAAAGAAAAGGCACCACAACUUACUCGAUAAAUCAAUCUCGACACUUCUUUGU